UACGGAGGGAGCUAGCGUUAUUCGGAAUUACUGGGCGUAAAGCGCACGUAGGCGGCUUUGUAAGUAAGAGGUGAAAGCCCAGAGCUCAACUCUGGAAUUGCCUUUUAGACUGCAUCGCUUGAAUCAUGGAGAGGUCAGUGGAAUUCCGAGUGUAGAGGUGAAAUUCGUAGAUAUUCGGAAGAACACCAGUGGCGAAGGCGGCUGACUGGACAUGGUAUUGACGCUGAGGUGCGAAAGCGUGGGGAGCAA
rnacentral:rRNA from 1 species